GAUCUUGGUCAGGACGAACGCUGGCGGCACGCUUAACACAUGCAAGUCGAACGGAGUUGUUUGGAGCUUGCUCUGAACAACUUAGUGGCGGACGGGUGAGUAACACGUGAGCAACCUGCCUUUGAGAGUGGAAUAGCUUCUGGAAACGGAUGGUAAUACCGCAUAACAUUAACGGACCGCAUGAUCUGUUAAUCAAAGAUUUAUCGCUCAAAGAUGGGCUCGCGGCUGAUUAGAUAGUUGGUGGGGUAACGACCUACCAAGUCGACGAUCAGUAGCCGGACUGAGAGGUUGAACGGCCACAUUGGGACUGAGACACGGCCCAGACUCCUACGGGAGGCAGCAGUGGGGAAUAUUGCACAAUGGGCGGAAGCCUGAAUGCAGCGAUGCCGCGUGGAGGAAGAAGGUUUUCAGAUUGUAAACUCCUUUUAUCAGGGACGAUAAUGACGGUACCUGAAGAAAAAGCUCCGGCUAACUACGUGCCAGCCGCGGC
rnacentral:rRNA from 1 species